AGUGAACGCUGGCGGUAGGCCUAACACAUGCAAGUCGAACGGCAGCACAGUAAGAGCUUGCUCUUACGGGUGGCGAGUGGCGGGCGGGUGAGGAAUACAUCGGAAUCUACUUUUUCGUGGGGGAUAACGUAGGGAAACUUACGCUAAUACCGCAUACGACCUACGGGUGAAAGCAGGGGAUCUUCGGACCUUGCGCGAUUGAAUGAGCCGAUGUCGGAUUAGCUAGUUGGCGGGGUAAAGGCCCACCAAGGCGACGAUCCGCAGCUGGUCUGAGAGGAUGAUCAGCCACACUGGAACUGAGACACGGUCCAGACUCCUACGGGAGGCAGCAGUGGGGAAUAUUGGACAAUGGGCGCAAGCCUGAUCCAGCCAUACCGCGUGGGUGAAGAAGGCCUUCGGGUUGUAAAGCCCUUUUGUUGGGAAAGAAAAGCAGCAGGUUAAUACCCCGCUGUUCUGACGGUACCCAAAGAAUAAGCACCGGCUAACUUCGUG
rnacentral:rRNA from 1 species